AUCCUACUUCCUCCGUCCCAAAAUACUUGUCAUCAAAAUGGACAAAAAAAAAUGUAUCCAGAACUAAAAUACAUCUAGAUACAUCCCUUUUAUUUAUUUUGAUGACAAGUAUUUCCGGACGAAAAGAGUACUUA
rfam:Triticum aestivum genome assembly, contig: Triticum_aestivum_CS42_TGACv1_scaffold_404850_5BL